GAUGAAGAACGCAGCGAAAUGCGAUACGUAAUGUGAAUUGCAAAUUCAGUGAAUCAUCGAGUCUUUGAACGCACAUUGCGCCCCCUGGUAUUCCGGGGGGCAUGCCUGUCCGAGCGUCAUUGCUGCCCUCAAGCACGGCUUGUGUGUUGGGCCCCGUCCUCCGAUCCCGGGGGACGGGCCCGAAAGGCAGCGGCGGCACCGCGUCCGGUCCUCGAGCGUAUGGGGCUUUGUCACCCGCUCUGUAGGCCCGGCCGGCGCUUGCCGAUCAACCCAAAUUUUUAUCCAGGUUGACCUCGGAUCAGGUAGGGAUACCCACUGAACUUAAGCAUAUCAAUAAGCGGAGGA
rnacentral:misc_RNA from 1 species